GUCCCCUAUCCCAAAUGCAAUUAAUUUUUUUUGUAAGUGCUAUCAACAACAAAGCCUAAUUUAUUGUUGUAUAUCAUUUUUGAAUAUACAAUUAAAUUCCACAUGACAAUACUAAGAAAACCAUUUAAACUUGAAAUACACUCAUAAUUCCACACACACUGAGCGAUUAUUUUAAGUUAAUGUUGAUAUUUUUUGGACCUCCUGUUGCCCAUCGUGUGUAAUCAAUUGUCGUUUUCUCAUCCUUUCCAUCUCCCUUUCCCUACUAAUCGUUUUUCGUCACAGUGCAUGUGACAGAGGCAUAAUUCUCUGGCGGCGGCGUAAACUAUUUGUGUAAAGCAUUUUAUUUCAGAAAGUAGAAGAACUGGAUGCUUCAUAUCUUGUUUGCAGAAAUCUUAUACAACAAAUUUUCAGUCAAUCGUAUUUCAAUUGUCCUUGGUUUCAUUUUUAUGGUUUCAGCGACGGCUUGAAAACACACUGUCAUGAAUAUUUCUCACUUAAUAUGAAUAAUAAGAUAUCUGUUUUUGGUAUAUGAGUUCGUUGCAAAGUCUAUAUAUUUGUUGGUAUAUAGGUUCGUUGCAACGUACAUAUAUCCGUAAGACAGUCUGGAUGUGCACCUUACCUAGAUGUCAUUUAAUGGAUC
rnacentral:lncRNA from 1 species